ensembl:lncRNA
UGUAAGUGAAUUCUGCAGAGGAAGACCAGAAUAGGCUCAUCAUUUAAGGAAGAAGAGAGUGAUGGAUGGAUGAG